AUUUAUUUUUUUUUUAAAGAAAUUUAAAUUAAAUUGAAGAACAAAAUUCUUUUUUAUUUUCUCAUUUGAAUCUUUGAAAAACGAAGCAAUGAACUUGGCGGAAUGUGAACACAAGUUCAACGAAAUUAUUGAUUAAAUAUUAAUGUCAGUGAUUGAAUAAUUAUAAUUUUUAGUAUUAUAUUUCAAAAUAUACACUCGUACCGGAAAUAUAACUAAAGUUACAAGCCAGUUUCAUUUCUCAUUCUUGGAUCGCAAAAAAAUAUAAAAGCCGGAAUCUAUAAAGUUGUUUUAAUUAUGACUCUUUUUUUUAUUUCAAUGUUAAAAAUAUCAAAUUGCAAGUUAACUUUAUAAUCUUAAUCUGUAAUUUAUACAAAGUAUUCUCCUGAUAAUCUCUUCAGGGAAGAAAGAAUUUCUUGUAAAUGCAGAUGUUCUUAAUAACUUAAUCCUUAGAAGGAAAUGGCAAAUAAGAAAUAAGGAAAUUGUUUUUUUUUCUUUCUUUCUUUUGAAAUUUAUUCUUCUUUAGUGUAUAAAAAUCAUGAAUAAAAAUAUAAAAACUCCUUUUUGUUCUUUUUUUCUUUUUUCCUUUUUUUAAACUUCAAUAUUUGACCUCUGAUCUUUAGUCGAACAAAAAAUAAUUCAAUGAAUACCCAAUUAACAUCAGACCUUUUUAGUCAUUUAUUUUUGUUCUCUAUUUUUGACUUUCAAUUUUUGAAAUUAAAAGUAAAAAAACCCCAAGUUUUUUUUUUGUUGAAAUAUUGAUUCAUUUAAAAAUGGUUCUCUUUAAUUUUUUUUCAGAGAGUCUUUUUUUUGUUAAUGAUUCUGCAUAUGAUAAAAUGGAUAAAAUGUUGAGGCAUUUUAAGGAGGGAAAAAAAUUUUUGAUUUACUGUGAACUGUUUUUUUUUUUGUUCUCGUUCGCGGUUUUCGAUUUCUCCUUGGCGAGUUUUAAGACGCCCUUGAACGAUCAUUUUAUGAGACGCACGUAAUUACUAUCAUUAUUUCGUUUCAAACUGCAAAGAUAGAUCAUUAAAUACGUCUAACAAAAAAAUAUAGAUUAUGAAAUAGAAGAUUCACUUUUUAAUCUAGUGAUUUUUUAAAAAUAUUUUCCCCCUGGUUCUUUUUAUUUAUUUUAUUAUUAUUAUUAUUAUUUUUUUUUUUUGAAAAUCUAUUUCGCAAAUCAAGACUCCGAAAAAUGUUGCUUCAUUUCUGAAGUACUUUGGAAAUAUACAAGAAUUAAUUUAUGCAUAUUAUAUGAAUACAUAUAGUCAGAAAAUGAUUCUUCGAGACAACUUUCACUAGGAUCUACAAAUUCGUUUCGUAAUUAUGUAUGAGCUUCGAGGAAAAAAAGAAAUUGUGAAUCGAAUCAAAUCUGGAAAUGAUGUUUUCUCAAAACCUUGACGAAUUUUUUAUGCGAAUAAAAGGAAUUAAUAUUGGGAACACCAUUAUAGCAAUGUGGAUUUUUGUUUGUGAUUGCCUUUGAUGAGAAAGGCCUUGAUGAUGGAACUUUUUCUCAAUUGAUAUGCGGCUCUUUUUCUUCAUCAGUUAUAGAGACGAGACAACGAAUUGGUUUCGAAUUUUCAAGGCUCGCAGCGAGCGGAAGGAAAAAAGAAAAUAAUGAACUGGCUAAAUUUAAAAUUUAGGAGCUGAUCUUUCAAUGUCCCGAACCGAUAAACGAAGUCUUGUGUCUCGAGCAAUAUUCUCGGCCCAUAUAUUAUGCAGGCAUUUCAGCUCUCGUCCACAUUUAUAAACGACCGGUUCAUCUUCUCGUUUUCUCUUUCUUCUGCACGCACGCAAAGAAGAAGAAGAUUCGCUGAAAAAUUGUGUAUAUUCAAAAAAAAGAGCAAAGGAAAGAAAAGCAAAAGAAGAGGAAGGAAAGGAGAAAAGAGCAAAAAAGGAGAAAAGGAGGAAAGGACAAAAAAUUUUUUCAUAAUGAGAAGCUUUUAUAAUGCGCGUUGUAAAUAGAGAAACGUGUUGUAAAUUUAAUUUUUUUUCUCUAUGUACCUAUAGAAGAAAUUGUUAUUUUAUGAUUAUAAUUUAUAAAGUGUAUUAUUAUUAUUAGAGAGGUAGUAAAAAAUUACUAGUGAAAUAAUAAUAAAAAGAGAUUUAAAAUUCUACGUUUAUUAUUAGAGAUGCGUCAUUAGAGGAGAGGGAUUCUAGAAGUUUUAUCGUGAUGUUCUUCACCUGAUUGGUUUUGUCGACAAUUAGAUUCUAAUAAACUCUUUGUAUAUUGUGAAUAAGCAUUUCAAAACGACUGCUUAAUCAGUUAUUACAACGCUAGAAUUAUUUAACACUUGUAUAUAUUAAAGAGAUGACGAUUUUCUCUAUAAAGAGAAGUUGAUUGGGAAAGAAAGAUUUUCCUUUUAAUAUUCCGUCUCGUUAAUUGUUUAUUGUCAGCUAGUUUAUAUUUAGGAACUGAAAAAAUUGGAAAACGAGAAUUAAAUGUCAUUGAA